UACAGAGGGUGCGAGCGUUAGGCGGAAUCACUGGGCUUAAAGCGUGUGUAGGCGGAUCCGUAAGUACCUUGUGAAAUCCCACGGCUCAACCGUGGAACUGCUUGGUAUACUGCGGGUCUUGAGCCACCUAGGGGCGAGCGGAACAAGUGGUGGAGCGGUGAAAUGCGUAGAUAUCACUUGGAACGCCAAUGGUGAAAACAGCUCGCUGGGGGUGUGCUGACGCUGAGACACGAAAGCCAGGGGAGCAAACGGG
rnacentral:rRNA from 1 species